rnacentral:rRNA from 1 species
GACGAACCGUGCGAACGUUGUUCGGAUUCACUGGGCGUAAAGGGUGCGUAGGCGGGUCUUUUAAGUCAGGGGUGAAAUCCUGGAGCUCAACUCCAGAACUGCCUUUGAUACUGAGGAUCUUGAGUUCGGGAGAGGUGAGUGGAACUGCGAGUGUAGAGGUGAAAUUCGUAGAUAUUCGCAAGAACACCAGUGGCGAAGGCGGCUCACUGGCCCGAUACUGACGCUGAGGCACGAAAGCGUGGGGAGCAAACAGG